rnacentral:rRNA from 1 species
GGGUUGUGAGGUUAAGCGACUAAGCGUACACGGUGGAUGCCCUGGCAGUCAGAGGCGAUGAAGGACGUGCUAAUCUGCGAAAAGCGUCGGUAAGGUGAUAUGAACCGUUAUAACCGGCGAUGUCCGAAUGGGGAAACCCAGUGCAAUUCGUUGCACUAUCGUUAACUGAAUACAUAGGUUAACGAGGCGAACCGGGGGAACUGAAACAUCUAAGUACCCCGAGGAAAAGAAAUCAACCGAGAUUCCCCCAGUAGCGGCGAGCGAACGGGGAGCAGCCCAGAGUCUGAAUCAGCUUGUGUGUUAGUGGAACGGUCUGGAAAGUCCGACGGUACAGGGUGAUAGUCCCGUACACCAAAAUGCACAGGUUGUGAACUCGAAGAGUAGGGCGGGACACGUGGUAUCCUGUCUGAAUAUGGGGGGACCAUCCUCCAAGGCUAAAUACUCCUGACUGACCGAUAGUGAACCAGUACCGUGAGGGAAAGGCGAAAAGAACCCCGGCGAGGGGAGUGAAAAAGAACCUGAAACCGUGUACGUACAAGCAGUGGGAGCACCUUCGGGUGUGACUGCGUACCUUUUGUAUAAUGGGUCAGCGACUUAUAUUCUGUAGCAAGGUUAACCGUAUAGGGGAGCCGCAGGGAAACCGAGUCUUAACUGGGCGUUAAGUUGCAGGGUAUAGACCCGAAACCCGGUGAUCUAGCCAUGGGCAGGUUGAAGGUUGGGUAACACUAACUGGAGGACCGAACCGACUAAUGUUGAAAAAUUAGCGGAUGACUUGUGGCUGGGGGUGAAAGGCCAAUCAAACCGGGAGAUAGCUGGUUCUCCCCGAAAGCUAUUUAGGUAGCGCCUCGUGAACUCAUCUUCGGGGGUAGAGCACUGUUUCGGCUAGGGGGUCAUCCCGACUUACCAACCCGAUGCAAACUACGAAUACCGAAGAAUGUUAUCACGGGAGACACACGGCGGGUGCUAACGUCCGUCGUGAAGAGGGAAACAACCCAGACCGCCAGCUAAGGUCCCAAAGUCAUGGUUAAGUGGGAAACGAUGUGGGAAGGCACAGACAGCCAGGAUGUUGGCUUAGAAGCAGCCAUCAUUUAAAGAAAGCGUAAUAGCUCACUGGUCGAGUCGGCCUGCGCGGAAGAUGUAACGGGGCUAAACCAUGCACCGAAGCUGCGGCAGCGACACUAUGUGUUGUUGGGUAGGGGAGCGUUCUGUAAGCCUGCGAAGGUGACCUGUGAGGGUUGCUGGAGGUAUCAGAAGUGCGAAUGCUGACAUAAGUAACGAUAAAGCGGGUGAAAAGCCCGCUCGCCGGAAGACCAAGGGUUCCUGUCCAACGUUAAUCGGGGCAGGGUGAGUCGACCCCUAAGGCGAGGCCGAAAGGCGUAGUCGAUGGGAAACAGGUUAAUAUUCCUGUACUUGGUGUUACUGCGAAGGGGGGACGGAGAAGGCUAUGUUAGCCGGGCGACGGUUGUCCCGGUUUAAGCAUGUAGGCUGAUUGUCCAGGCAAAUCCGGAUAAUCAAGGCUGAGGUGUGAUGACGAGGCACUACGGUGCUGAAGUAACAAAUGCCCUGCUUCCAGGAAAAGCCUCUAAGCAUCAGGUAACAUCAAAUCGUACCCCAAACCGACACAGGUGGUCAGGUAGAGAAUACCAAGGCGCUUGAGAGAACUCGGGUGAAGGAACUAGGCAAAAUGGUGCCGUAACUUCGGGAGAAGGCACGCUGGUGUGUAGGUGAAGCCCCUGCGGGUGGAGCUGAGACCAGUCGAAGAUACCAGCUGGCUGCAACUGUUUAUUAAAAACACAGCACUGUGCAAACACGAAAGUGGACGUAUACGGUGUGACGCCUGCCCGGUGCCGGAAGGUUAAUUGAUGGGGUUAUCCGUAAGGAGAAGCUCUUGAUCGAAGCCCCGGUAAACGGCGGCCGUAACUAUAACGGUCCUAAGGUAGCGAAAUUCCUUGUCGGGUAAGUUCCGACCUGCACGAAUGGCGUAAUGAUGGCCAGGCUGUCUCCACCCGAGACUCAGUGAAAUUGAACUCGCUGUGAAGAUGCAGUGUACCCGCGGCAAGACGGAAAGACCCCGUGAACCUUUACUAUAGCUUGACACUGAACAUUGAGCCUUGAUGUGUAGGAUAGGUGGGAGGCUUUGAAGCGUGGACGCCAGUCUGCGUGGAGCCAACCUUGAAAUACCACCCUUUAAUGUUUGAUGUUCUAACGUUGGCCCCUUAUCGGGGUUGCGGACAGUGUCUGGUGGGUAGUUUGACUGGGGCGGUCUCCUCCCAAAGCGUAACGGAGGAGCACGAAGGUUAGCUAAUCCUGGUCGGACAUCAGGAGGUUAGUGCAAUGGCAUAAGCUAGCUUGACUGCGAGCGUGACGGCGCGAGCAGGUGCGAAAGCAGGUCAUAGUGAUCCGGUGGUUCUGAAUGGAAGGGCCAUCGCUCAACGGAUAAAAGGUACUCCGGGGAUAACAGGCUGAUACCGCCCAAGAGUUCAUAUCGACGGCGGUGUUUGGCACCUCGAUGUCGGCUCAUCACAUCCUGGGGCUGAAGUAGGUCCCAAGGGUAUGGCUGUUCGCCAUUUAAAGUGGUACGCGAGCUGGGUUUAGAACGUCGUGAGACAGUUCGGUCCCUAUCUGCCGUGGGCGCUGGAGAAUUGAGGGGGGCUGCUCCUAGUACGAGAGGACCGGAGUGGACGCAUCACUGGUGUUCGGGUUGUCAUGCCAAUGGCACUGCCCGGUAGCUAAAUGCGGAAGAGAUAAGUGCUGAAAGCAUCUAAGCACGAAACUUGCCCCGAGAUGAGUUCUCCCUGAGACUUUAAGUCUCCUGAAGGAACGUUAAAGACGAUGACGUUGAUAGGCCGGGUGUGUAAGCGCAGCGAUGCGUUGAGCUAACCGGUACUAAUGAACCGUGAGGCUUAACCUUACAACGCCGAAG